ensembl:lincRNA
CAGGGCUCUGACUUCAAGGUUCCAGAAAAUGCUUCAUUUGUCUACCCCAAAGCCGCCUGCAGGAGGCUUUUUCUUGCUAGAGAUCUCUUAGCUUCUUUAAGGUUAAUUAUUCAGUGGUCUGAGUGGGAAGAGUGCAGCAAGGACAACAGCAGCGAAAAAGCAGAGAGCAAAAGGAGUCUGAACAAUGUAAAUCUCUCCUGCCAGCUGAUCUCCUUUCUGCCCCUUGGUAUGCAAAAUAUUCAUUCAUUCCCCAAUACAGCCCAGAUGGAGCAAGGCACCCCCCUUGUCUCUGUAGCCCUUUCUUUGGCAGCUGAAGGUUGCUCAAGGUGCCUUCCAGGAGGAUCCCAAAGUUCUAGCUUGUUCCAGGGUGGGGAAAAGGCAUAUAAGAAUAUUUUUAAAAAAGACUACUAACUAAAAUCUAUAUUUUUGCCAUUGACUCCACAGGGCGCUUUUGCAUAUAUAAUGUCCUUGGAUUCUCACAUGUUUGCAAGGUAAAGGGCUUUACCUGCAUCUUACAGAGUGGGAAACUGAGGCACAGAGACCUCACAAGGUCACUCAGCUAGUGAUUGGGGUUGCCUGGACUCAUAAAAUCUCAAAAACUGGAACCAUCUUCCUCCUUCUAAAGUCUGUUCUCUGAUCAUAACACCAAGGAAGGUUUGGUUGGAGAAUAACAACUUCCAGUGUUGCUGUCCCCACAAAUACAGAAGGUUUCCACGUCUCUCCUCUUCAAUACUGAAGGACCUUGGCUAGAGCUUUUCCUCCCUCCUGCGUCCCAGCCUCCAUCAGUCUAAUGUGUGCAUCGCUGUAAGCGAGAGAGCGAUCUACCUCAUAGAAAUGGCCUAAGCAGAUCAACAAACACCCCCCGUCACCCGUCACCCGAUCCCACCUCCGGAGGUGAAUCCCAUUCCGUGUCUAGGGUGUUUGAUGAUGCUGUUUUCCAUUUCAGGCCCCUCGGACCUGCAACAUUUCAGAGUCGCGGAAAGGCCCUGGCUCUUGCUUCCCUGACGCUGGGUCCUCCUCUACACGCUGCGCCGAGGACGUCUGGACAGGGCUGGAGCCCUGGGAAGAGAGGAACCCUAAGCCUGGAAAGAAGCAAGCCCUGGGGAGAGAGGAGCCCAGGAAGCCUGGACCCUGGCGGACGUCGGCAGCCGUCUUGCUCCAGCACGUGGCAACAGACGUUGGUGAGGGAAGUAACUUAUGCUUUAUGGCCUGGUAUCUGUAAGCUCCUAACCCAAAUAAACACCCUUUAUAAAAGCCAACCAAUUUCUAGUAUUUUGCAUCAGCACUCCUUUGGCUGAUUAAAAUUAACCCAUUUAUUGCAGGCUAGAGGUGUUUCAAGUGGUGGCGCUUCUGCUGGUCUUUCUACGCCUUCAGUCUCCCGAUGGGUGUCGGCCCAGGCACCACCUGCUGCUGUUUUCACACAGGAACUGCAGUGCCAGAUCCCCACAGCUCGUCUCUUCCUUUCGGUCUUGCCACAGAGGGAGCAAGUAAACUUGGCGUGCUGGCCGACUUCAGUUUUCUUCACCAUUUUCCUAAGGGAGGCGCCAUAACUUGUCCCAUUAUUUACCAACGAUUCUGACCUUCUUGGUGCGUUUUGCCAUAUUUGCCAUGCUCUUAAUUCCCUCUCAAAGCUCCCAAAUAGUCUUCUCAACCCAUUUUCUCUUGUAAAUGGUUGUUGAAGACCUCAAGCGUUGCCCGUGGAAAUUUGGAAACGUCGGUGUUUUAGUUAGCGCCUGUCAUAGGCUGUUAUGAACUUAAAUAGAGUCGAGUAGAUUCUCCUCAGUCUUUUAUUCAUUAUUCCUUUAACAUAACUGUCACUUAAACAAUUUGCUGAUAUUAAUAUCAGUCUUUGUAAACAAAACAAUAGUAAAGGAUUACUUCGCUGUUUCUCGUGUGUUUUACGUGGGAUUCUGAAGUU